CGGGGGGCAGCAGUGGGGAAUUUUGGACAAUGGGCGAAAGCCUGAUCCAGCAAUGCCGCGUGAGUGAAGAAGGCCUUCGGGUUGUAAAGCUCUUUUGUCAGGGAAGAAACGGUGGGUUCUAAUACAGCCUGCUAAUGACGGUACCUGAAGAAUAAGCACCGGCUAACUACGUGCCAGCAGCCGCGGUAAUACGUAGGGUGCAAGCGUUAAUCGGAAUUACUGGGCGUAAAGCGUGCGCAGGCGGUUUUGUAAGUCUGUCGUGAAAUCCCCGGGCUCAACCUGGGAAUGGCGAUGGAGACUGCAAGGCUAGAGUUUGGCAGAGGGGGGUAGAAUUCCACGUGUAGCAGUGAAAUGCGUAGAUAUGUGGAGGAACACCGAUGGCGAAGGCAGCCCCCUGGGUCAAGACUGACGCUCAUGCACGAAAGCGUGGGGAGCAAACAGGAUUAGAUACCCCCGU
rnacentral:rRNA from 1 species